GGGGCCAUGGCUCAGUGGCAGAGCCUCUGUCUAGCAUGCAGGAGGUCCCAGUUCGAUCCCCGGCAGCCCCC
rnacentral:tRNA from 1 species